GCUGGUGUGGCUCAGUGGGUGGAGCGUCAGCCUGUGGACUGAAGGGUCCCGGGUUCGAUUCCCGGUCAAGGGCA
rnacentral:tRNA from 1 species